AUCCACCAUAGACCUCCCUCCACCAUAGACCGCAUAUCCUCCGCUGCCAUCGCACUCCCAUCUCCUACUCCUCCGCCGACCGCCGCGCCCUCAUCUCCUCCCUCCACCGACUGUCUCCGCGGACACAACCCCUCCUCCGUCAGCCAAAUCCUAGCCAAACCGACCGCGCCUCCCUCCUCUACCUCCGACCGCGCCUCCCUCCCCAGAUCCCUCCGCACCAUCGACUUUUCCCGCGGAUGAGGAGGCGCAACAGCCCCCUCUCCUCCCUCCGUAUCCCGCCGGCACCCCCUCCCUCCCAGCGCGGGUAGCGGCGGAUCUGCUGCGGGUGGCCUAGCCCUGGCCUCCCGGCGCGAGCGCCGGCGGCACAGGCGUGGGGGGCGCCCAGCGCAUCGCAAGAAGUCGGCGUGGCUAACUCAAGCAGCUCUAGAAGGAGUACCACGCGCUCUGCAAGGAGCCGCCGCUGCAGAUCGUGGCUCACCCGCUGCCCAACGAUAUAUUGGAGUGGCACUAUGUUCUUGAAGGAACUAAAGGCACACCCUUUGAAGGCUAACAAAGAUGGGGGACAAAUUGCAGAGGUUGCUGCUACAACAAACAUGGGUGAAGAAAAUGUAACUAUAGAAAGUGAAGAAAUAUCACAUCGGCAGGAAAAGCAAGGUAGCAGCCCACCACAUACACAACUCGUAGCUACCACAGCGGAAGGUACAAGUACUGGUCGGAGCAAGAUAGAGUUUGAGUGGAGCGCACAAGUGAUGGGACGGUCAAUGUCAAGCCAACCUUUGCUACAGUGCUAGACAUAGCUUAUUACAUUUUGAUGUGUUCAAACUAGCCAGUGUGAGUCGGAUACCUUAUGUGUUUCAGUUGUGCGUGUGUUAUUGACUAAGUUUGACAUUGGAUGGUUUCAUUAAUGAAUUGUACGAACAAAGCAUAAUUUGGAUUAAUGGAUGCCUAAAUGUUUCUUUCAUCA